GGAGCGGUGACAUCCCAGCACUGCCAGCAGAAGACCUGAGGGCUGGGGCACAUCGAAGUCUCACCUCUCAGGGCAAAAGUGCCUCUGGAGGAGGCUUUUCAACAAAGGCUGAGGUGGAAGAGCUGCAGGCAGGGUGAGAAGCUCAGGCAGGAUACGGUGGUUAGAGGACAGAGCAGCUCAUCUGAAAAGGGGGAUAUUAGCUGCAGCUGUGACUGGGGUAGUUAGGGAAGAGGAGGUGGCCCCUUCACUGUUAAGACAAAAGGAACAGACGCACUACGGGUGAUUAGGAAGCCUGAGGAGAGGCACCAUGAACCAUCUGAAAGCCUGUUUUGAUCCUCAGAUUUGAAGUAUGAGAAAUAAGAGAAGGUCCAGCAGCAGUUGUCUGAGUAUGGUCAGGCUUCUGCAGCCGGUGGCAGAGGAGUCCAGCAUAGCUGGUGGCUGAGCAGUAGCCUUCUCACAGCAAGCUGAGCUACCUGGGAGUGCGAGGUGGGGAAGGGACCCUGAAUGCAGAGAAAAGUGUCAGUGAGUCAUUGGCAAGGAGUUAGACUUUUGAAGACUCCCAAAGGCAGAUGCUAUCUUCAAGGGCGUUGCAAUGUGUUGGGAGGCAGUGGAGGGACUCAGCUCAUGGCAUGCCCCAGAAAUGGUUGUACAGACUGAGCUGCUUCACUUCUUCCCUGGGCUUUACAGCUCUCAUCAAUUAGAGGCUAAUGGCUUCCUUUAGAAAGCUUUUAAGUGCAAACAAGCUUAUUCAAGAUGAUGAAAUUGCCUCCUAAUUGAUUACUCCCGCAGUUUAACAGCUGUUUCCCCGACUUGCUUAUUUUUUUCCCCUUUACUGGAAAUAGAAAUCAGCUGUUGAUGUGACCAGCUCACCGCCAGCCAGGAGCUCAUGAGGAGCUAACAAAUGUUUGCGGCAGUGCUGGCUUUUGUGAAGGGAUUGACAGAAGCGCCUGGUGGGGAGCGUGUUGGCCAGGGCUGGAGGGAAGAGCUUCCCUGUGAAAUAUGAAUAAGCAGAGGAGCUGUGGCAUUUUCGGUCCUCCCCAUGAUGGCCUCAAAUCUGUGGCAUGCUGGGGGAGGAGGAAGAGUCUUGUUUCACCCCUCAGCCCUGGGCCACCCGAGCUUAGGUGCUGCCUGACCGCGUGCGCCCGGCCAGCCCCACGCGAUAGCAUCGGGAGGAGUACAGUAGGUCCCACUCUGCAUUUCCAGCAAGGCUGCUGGUGGCUCUUCCUUCUUUCCCACCUUGCUUUUCUACUCAGACAAUGCUUGUGUGACUGCAUGGCCUGUCAUCAACUUGCUGAAAAGAUGUUUGGGGCUACUGUCUGACUUCUGUUGACUAAGCUAAAAAUAUUUCUGUGGACCUUGCAUAAAAAUGUGUUGAAGUGACCUAUAAGUCUGUCCCCUGCUUCUCUUCCACUGGAUGGGGAGACUUCAGCAAGAGCACAGCCCUUGCUGGGCUUCAAGAAUUGCUUUGGAGAGGACUGCUACCAUGUCAUGCCCACCGCUGAGGUGUGAGGGUGAGGCAGGAGUUGCACUGCCCACCAGCAGGAUGCACAAAGGAGAUCAGAGUCUCAGGGGCUACUACUGAAUCCUUCUGGCCAACAAGUUUCUCUGCCUGAGGAACCCCAUGAGUUUUCAUCAGCUGAGGGGAGAUCCAUGAGUACCCUUGAUGUGCUGGAAUUGUGGAGGAGAAGCACUACUGCUGCUGGCUCAUUCCUUCCCCCUGGGACACCUGGCAAAACAGGGCAGGGAUAAGCUGUUAUUGACCAUCCUCUGACCUAGGUGGCUGGUGUCUUGGCAGGGUCAUAAGAGAAAGUUUUUUACUCUUCUUUCUAGCUAAAGAUCUCUCUCUCCUCCUCUCUUUUUGCAGCAAGCUCCAGUGAACACGAGGCUGAAAGAGUCUGGAGACUCUUACGGGGAGUUAACUGUGUGCAAACUUCUUUUUGUCUUGAGUCACUCUGAUAACUUUGUUCCUGGUGGGUGUGAUAUGGUAACGGUGGUCCCGGUGGGGCUUUCUGUCACAUGGAAUGCUUCAGUGAGGGAGCAGGACCCUUAGCUGGAAGGCACAAGGCCUGGGAGGUCCAUGGGAAAUAGAGCAGUGAAAUACAGAGGUGGUGAUGAAACUUUGCCAUCUGCUCCAGAGCAAACUGACUGCAGGGACUAUUCAGACCGGUGCCAACACACACAAACUUGGUCCUGCAAUGUGUUUGCAGUCCUGCUGCUGCAGGAAUCCGCUGGACAAGCCAUCUCGGCUGCUGGGCCGUAAUAACACCUACAGUGUGUCUGGAAGCCUCCCCAUCGUGUCAGAGAGCAGUGGGAAUCUGUCCUUCAGUGCGGGGCAGGUGUCAGUCUUGCUCUGAGCCGUGCUUUUGGUGUGCUGUGGUAUUCUGGUGGGGAGCCGCUGUGCCCCUCAUGCAGCAGGCUGGCUGCCCUGGGAGACACCCUCUGAGCCGCUUUUCCCGGAAGGGUGCACCUGGUUGUCCUGUCUGUUAGCAUCCGUGGAUCGGAGGGCACAAAAUGCCGCUCUCGGCACGCCAUCUGUGUGAGGCAGCCUGGGCUGAGAGCUCUGUGACAAGCAGCCCAUCCAAACGUCCCUCCUAACCGCGGCAACACGCGGACCUGGGCAAGCUCCCUCGCGGGCUGAGCGGAUCCGCUUUCAGCCCUAAUGGGUUUCCCAGGAUUUGCAGAUGUGAAUUAUUUGCAUUCCUGACUCGAAGGUCUGUGGAGUUCUCUGCCUAGAGAAAAAUUGCUCCAGAUCUCAAGCUGGCAUCUCCAACCCAUAAGCCAGAAGACAACCGGUGUUGUCAGUAUCAAGGCUAGAAGAGGCACCUCCUGACUUGUUUGUUUCAGAGCAUCAUCCAGCAGUGUAAAGGCCAGGUGGGACCUGUCUCCCAUGCAUCCACUAACUGAUUGUUCAUGACUGAGACUCUCUUGGGACCUGUGUUCUUUCAGUUGGAAGGUAUGGUAAAGGUAGGCAGGUAUCCUGUUAGCAAGGGUUGAUGAUGCAGUGUAAGGGCUGCUACAGCAGGAAUAAAGGAUAGGGUUAGCCACUAUCAGUACCUGUUCAGAUGAAGAGGGAAAGAACUAAGUGCUAGAGCCAGUCUUCAGAAGAUCAAUAGCAAAUGGAACUCUAUCUUUACAUGUGCUCUGUAAAUGGACAGGCUCAGGGAAGUUGACAGAGUACAAGAGACGUGUCCACAUAACCUUGGCACUGGAUCCUUCCUUAGCAAAUGCAAUCAGAGGCAACUCCCAGAUUUGUGAGUGGGGCAGACUUCAAAACUCCAAGGGCAUUUAAACAGUUGAGCUCCCAUAUGAUCAUCUGAACACCCUUUUGACCUUUACUUCAGAGUCAAGCUUUCCCUUGUGCUCACAGUGACUUGUAAAGACUGAAUGCCCCCAAAUCAAUGUUACUAGUGGGAACAUGGAAAUGAAUUGUGUCAAUCUAUCACUCAUCUUGCCCUAUUACAUUCAGUGAUUAGAACUUGGCCUCAAAUACACGAGCAAAGUGUCUCCUGUGACAAGCAAGUGCUGCAUAGGAGAUGGCAGUGCAUGACUUUAAAAGUGGUCAAAAGCGGAGAACAAAAGAAAAGUUUGGGCCCAAGACUGGUUUUCUUUGCUUAGGUCUAGUCACAGCUCAGCAUGACGUCUAGGAAACAAAAGAUUGAGUAUGAAAGAGUAAGUUUGCAGAAGUCUGAGUUGCAAAGGAAGCAGAGCCUUUGGGACACAUUCCCUUACUGUCUCUGCUGAGGGGCAACCAGUACCUUGCAGAAAUCCUGCAGAAAGGGCUUGCGAAAUGGUGAAGUUAAAAAGUAGAAUAGCAGAAAACCAGCACAGAGAGAAGUGCAUUGAGAGGGUCCAUAUUCUGCUGUGAACUGCUCUGAGCAUCAGGUCCAUGGGUCAUGUGCAAGUAGACCCUCGGGCCAAGGCAGAUGAGUAGCAGGACUGAAUGCAGUGACCUCUGUGAAACUGUUUAGGGCCAGGCUGUUUGAAGGUGUGAAUGACAUCACACUUCUACAUCUCUCUCUCCCAUACCACCCUACUCAAACCUGGCCUCCAGGCCUCAAGGAACAAUUGGUGUUGAUGAUGACCUUUCUGCUUCAUCUUCAUACACAGCUUGGAGGAUGGCUGAAAAGAUCCAGUUGUAGUCAUGGCUGUGAAACACAGCUGGGGUUCCUGAUGGUUAGAGGGUACAUAUGAUUGAACUAACCUGGAGAGAGCCUGUCUGGGUAGCAACAAACA